rnacentral:lncRNA from 1 species
CGAAUCACUGCACUGCUUACAGGGCCACAACGUGAAAGCAACUCAGGAGGCACGGACGUCCACCGCCAGCCCUGCCCCAUCCUCCUCGCCAUCGCCGGGGCAGGCCAUCGGAUUUCGCACUGCUUGAAGGAAGGCGACGGAAGUGCUUCCUUUCCCUCCUCCACUUGGUCGCAAGCGGCUCAUGGGACAGGUCUGUCAGAAGUUGUCAGCCUCGCACGACAGCAGCUUGGAGGUGCCCAGAUCCGGCUUGGGCAUUACCGGCAGCAUCAGUUCAACUGGCGAUGA